AGCAGCUCUCCUCUCACUAUGCUCUCUUUCUCUAAAGUGGGCCAUAUACAAAGAGGUGGUAUAGUGCACACGCUCUCGUAUCCACCUUGGCUAGUGUCUCUCUGUUCCAUGUGCCUAUGAAACUGAGAUUGAAUUCACCAGUUACACAUCGGCAGCAAAUGCACAAACCUGGAGUCAGAAGACAUUCAAAGGAUCCCAGCAAGAGUACUGGGAAGUCAUUUCUAAGUAUUCUGGGAUCCUCACAAAGAAAGCCCAUAAAAAAGAGAAGAGAAUCACAUAUCAAAUGAAGUGAUUGAUCUUAAUCACCAAGGUGAAAUUGAAUUGCUGCUAACCAAUUAGAACAAGGAAGACUAUGUGUGGAACCCAGGGGAUUGACUGGGGUGCUUCUUGGUACAUUACUUCCCAAGAACCUGGUCAAUGGAAAUUUCAGCAACACAAUAAGGACCAGGCCAUCAUGGAAACAGAUUAUGCAGGAUCAUCUCACCAGUUUCAGGUGGGGAGAUCACUGAGUUGCCAUCACCAUGUACUGUGCUCAGUCAUUUCAUUUGUAUCUGACUCUGUGACCUGUGGACUAUAGCCCGCCAGUCUCCUCUGUCCUUUGGA